rnacentral:pre_miRNA from 1 species
GAUAACUUUAUUUUCCAAUUUUUUGAUAUAAUAUUUUGACUCUUCGUCUUAUUUGAAUUCUUUUGGCGAUUAAUAUUUUUAUUGUUACUAGAUAAUAAUAUAUGAAUACCACUUUAUGCGUGACUAAUUUUUUAAAGUUUUUGAACAUUUUUUUAAAUAAGACGUAUGGUCAAACGUUGGACACGAAAAACAAAAAAUAAAGUUAUU